rnacentral:rRNA from 1 species
AGAGUUUGAUCCUGGCUCAGGAUGAACGCUGGCGGUAUGCUUAACACAUGCAAGUCGAACGGACUCUUCGGAGUUAGUGGCGGACGGGUGAGUAACGCGUGAGAAUCUGGCUUCAGGUUCGGGACAACAGUUGGAAACGGCUGCUAAUACCGGAUGUGCCUUAUGGUGAAAGAUUUAUCACCUGAAGAUGAGCUCGCGUCUGAUUAGCUAGUAGGUGUGGUAAGAGCGCACCUAGGCGACGAUCAGUAGCUGGUCUGAGAGGAUGAUCAGCCACACUGGGACUGAGACACGGCCCAGACUCCUACGGGAGGCAGCAGUGGGGAAUUUUCCGCAAUGGGCGAAAGCCUGACGGAGCAAUACCGCGUGAGGGAGGAAGGCUCUUGGGUUGUAAACCUCUUUUCUCAGGGAAGAAUGAUGACGGUACCUGAGGAAUAAGCAUCGGCUAACUCCGUGCCAGCAGCCGCGGUAAUACGGAGGAUGCAAGCGUUAUCCGGAAUGAUUGGGCGUAAAGCGUCCGCAGGUGGCAAUGUAAGUCUGCUGUCAAAGCGUCUGGCUCAACCAGAUAAAGGCAGUGGAAACUACAUAGCUAGAGUAAGGUAGGGGUAGAGGGAAUUCCUGGUGUAGCGGUGAAAUGCGUAGAGAUCAGGAAGAACACCGGUGGCGAAAGCGCUCUGCUGGACCUUAACUGACACUGAGGGACGAAAGCUAGGGGAGCAAAUGGGAUUAGAUACCCCCGUAGUCC